rnacentral:tRNA from 1 species
GGGCCUGUAGCUCAACUGGCAGAGCGCUUCCCUCUUAAGGAAGAUGUUGUGGGUUCGAGUCCCUCCAGGCUCA